CUCAGACAUAGAGCUUUGCAGAAGACCGGACUUGCACAAUGACGUUUGAUGCUUUUACUGCUUCAGUCAUUUUGUUUUUGCUGGGUAUGCACCUUGGAGUUCAUCAAAAUCCCAAUUUAGGGAUUCUCUGAUUCUGGGUAUACGGCGUUAAAUGGCUCGGUGCUUUGGGUUCGGAUGGUCUCGGCUAGAGGGCUGCAUAAUGUUCUUGCUUCCGCUUAUAAGAUUAUGCAGCAAAUAGUGAGUUCUGCUUUGGUUCACUCCCUUAUAGCUUCAUCAACAUUGAGUCCCUCACAGGAUCAAACUACAAAAAGUGGAAAGCAGACAUGGAGAUCUAUUUGAGCAUUCACCAUCUAGAUAUGCCUAUGUAUAAGGAACCUCCAGCAGCUCUCACUAUAGCUAGCACCAGUGAUGGCCGAAAAUACUUUGAUGAGUGCCUUAGGCUGAAUAGAGUUUGUAAAAACAUAAUGAAGAGAACCAUGUCAGAUGCCAUUAGUGGUAGCAUUGAAGAGAAGGAGUUGGCCACAGACUUUCUAGCUUCCAUUGGUGAAAAAUUCACAGAGAGUGACAAGGCUCAAACUGCAAUUUUGCUGGGGAAAUUAAUGAACACUAAGUACACCAGUUCAGGGAAAAUUAGGGAACACAUUUUGAAGUUUGUAGACUAUGCAGCUAAACUAAAAGCCUUGAAGAAUCUUGUUUCUGAUGAGAUGAUUAUCCACCAUGUUCUGAAUUCUCUACCACCUAGUUUUGAACAUCUCAACACCAGCUACUUAGCAUAGAAAGACAAAUGGAACAUCAAUGAGUUGAUUUCAAUUUCGUGCAAGUGGAUGACAGAAUUAAGAAAGAAAAGGGUGAGAAGACAGUUAAUCUUGUGGGGAAACCUAAGUGGAAAGGAAACAACCAGAAGGGGAAGAAAUUUAACUGGAAACAAGCCCUAGCUCCAGCCUUUGAGUAUAAAAUUCCCAAACCUUAUCAGACAAAAUGCUACUUCUGCAGAAAACCCGGCUACCAUAAGAAAUAUUGUACUGGUUUCAAAGCUUGGUUGAAUAAAAAAAAGGGAUACAGAAGGAAGAGAAAUCCCAGAAGUGAGGAACAAAACAUAUGUAUUGGCAAUGGAUCAAGGGUGUAGCAAUGAAGGCAAUAGGAUCUGUUAGACUAGAUUUAGGAUCUGGAAAUUUUAUUGUUUUAGACAAUGUCUAUUUUGUACCUUCCAUGAGAAGGAAUUUGAUAAGUGUCUCCCUUUUAGUUAAACUUGGUUGUAGCUUUCUUAUUGAUUGUAAUGGAAUAAAGAUUUCAAGAAAUUCUUUUCAUAUUUGAUGAAGAAUACAAGCAGAAUAUUUUAAGUCAAGAUUUGGAAAGUAGUUCAAAUAUAUCUAGGUUUUUAUUAUUAGGAUUCUUAUAAUUAUUAGGAUUAUUUCUUUAGGAUUCUUCAAGGAUAUCCCUAGUUAUUCUAGAGUUAUCUUAGCCUCCCUAUAUAUAGAGGCCUUUGUAGUCUUUUAUUGGCAGAAUUGAGUUAAUAAAA